rnacentral:tRNA from 1 species
GGGGUUGUGGCUCAGUGGUAGAGUGUUUGCCUUAUAUGCACAAGGCCCUGGGUUUGAUCCCCAGCACCA